GAGGUAGUGACAAGAAAUAACAAUACGGGGCUCAACGCCUUGUAAUUGGAAUGAUGGGAACCUAAACCCCUUCCAGAGUAUCAAUUGGAGGGCAAGUCUGGUGCCAGCAGCCGCGGUAAUUCCAGCUCCAAUAGCGUAUAUUAAAAUUGUUGCAGUUAAAAAGCUCGUAGUUGAAUUUCUGCCGCAUCGCGGCGGCCCUCCCGGGCCCAGCGUUGCGGCUUAUUUCGGACUCGCUUGCGUCUCCGAAUGUUUACUUUGAGAAAAUUAGAGUGCUCAAAGCAGGCCCUUGCCUUGAAUACUUUAGCAUGGAAUAAUAAAGUAGGACUUUGGUUCUAUUUUGUUGGUUUAGCGCCAAAGUAAUGGUUAAUAGGAACAGUUGGGGGCAUUCGUAUUUAACUGUCAGAGGUGAAAUUCUUAGAUUUGUUAAAGACGAACCACUGCGAAAGCAUUUGCCAAGGAUGUUUUCAUUAAUCAAGAACGAAAGUUAGGGGAUCGAAGA
rnacentral:rRNA from 1 species